rnacentral:lncRNA from 1 species
CCCCCACACAUUCAAAAUAAGUAGUAACUUCUUCUCCACAAAUCGCUUUAAUGACCUUCAAUAGACAACGACUUUUUAAAAGGAUGAUCAGUCAGAUCCUUCACUUAAAGUAGCUAAAAAAUAAUAGCUCUUUACCUUGCUUCGUAACAAGGUAGACGCCCUAACAGCUGACAUCCAACAAUCCAUAGCCAAAAGGAUUCGACUUUCUGAGCUAAUCUACAACAUUAAACAAAUCUCUUGGUAGCCCGAAAAGCUUUUUGACAAAAAAAGGGGGAGAUAAGAAAGGGAGAAAUGGAGUUGUGUAGUUUUU